UGGAGGUGUGAGAAAGUUAUGCAGCUUCAUGCAGUGUUGCUAUAACUGGUUAUAACCUCCGAUAUUAAUGUGAAGAGCUCGGGUGCUGUAAUGACUCCUGUUUACUGCAGUGAGCCUCUACAGUGC